rnacentral:rRNA from 1 species
AACGAACGCUGGCGGUGUGCUUAACACAUGCAAGUCGAACGAGAAAGUUUCCUUCGGGAAGCGAGUAAAGUGGCGCAAGGGUGAGUAACACGUGAAUAAUCUACCCUCGAGACUGGGAUAACCUGGUGAAAACUAGGCUAAUACCGGAUAAGACCACGUCCCGCAAGGGAUGCGGGAAAAGGAGGCUCAACCUCCACUUGGAGAUGAGUUCGCGGACCAUUAGCUUGUUGGUGAGAUAACAGCUCACCAAGGCUACGAUGGUUAGCCGGCCUGAGAGGGUGAACGGCCACACUGGAACUGAGACACGGUCCAGACUCCUACGGGAGGCAGCGGUACGGAAUAUUGUCCAAUGGGCGCAAGCCUGAGACAGCCAUGCCGCGUGUGUGAAG